UACGUAGGGGGCAAGCGUUGUCCGGAAUCAUUGGGCGUAAAGCGCGUGUAGGCGGCUCGGUAAGUCUGCUCUGAAAGCCCGGGGCUCAACCCUGGGAGGCGGGUGGAUACUGCUGAGCUCGAGUCCGGAAGAGGCGAGUGGAAUUCCUGGUGUAGCGGUGAAAUGCGCAGAUAUCAGGAGGAACACCGAUGGCGAAGGCAGGUCUCUGGGCCACUACUGACGCUGAGAAGCGAAAGCAUGGGGAGCGAACAGG
rnacentral:rRNA from 1 species